rnacentral:rRNA from 1 species
GUACACUCCUACGGGAGGCAGCAGUGGGGAAUUUUGGACAAUGGGCGAAAGCCUGAUCCAGCAAUGCCGCGUGUGUGAAGACGGCCUUCGGGUUGUAAAGCACUUUUGUCCGGAAAGAAAUCCUUGGCUCUAAUACAGUCGGGGGAUGACGGUACCGGAAGAAUAAGCACCGGCUAACUACGUGCCAGCAGCCGCGGUAAUACGUAGGGUGCGAGCGUUAAUCGGAAUUACUGGGCGUAAAGCGUGCGCAGGCGGUUUGCUAAGACCGAUGUGAAAUCCCCGGGCUCAACCUGGGAACUGCAUUGGUGACUGGCAGGCUAGAGUAUGGCAGAGGGGGGUAGAAUUCCACGUGUAGCAGUGAAAUGCGUAGAGAUGUGGAGGAAUACCGAUGGCGAAGGCAGCCCCCUGGGCCAAUACUGACGCUCAUGCACGAAAGCGUGGGGAGCAAACAGGAUUAGAUACCCGAGUAGUCCCAUGA